UACGGAGGGUGCGAGCGUUGUCCGGAAUUAUUGGGCGUAAAGGGCUCGUAGGCGGUUUGUCGCGUCGGGAGUGAAAACCUCGGGCUUAACUCGGGGCCUGCUUCCGAUACGGGCAGACUAGAGGUAUGCAGGGGAGAACGGAAUUCCUGGUGUAGCGGUGAAAUGCGCAGAUAUCAGGAGGAACACCGGUGGCGAAGGCGGUUCUCUGGGCAUGAUCUGACGCUGAGGAGCGAAAGUGUGGGGAGCGAACAGG
rnacentral:rRNA from 1 species